CUAAUAAUGCAAACGUAAAAAAUUGGAAAAUUUUAUCUGUUUAGAUUUUAGCGCUAUCUAUCUUUGACCCCAGAAACUUACACACAAUCCCAUAUAUAUAAGCUUGAUGAGUUGCAUAAAUCAGUUGUUCUUGGCUUUUGUCAUACAUCUAAUAAGAUCGUUAAAUUCUAGAAAGUAUUAUUCUGCAAAAGGACCACUUUAGUUUAAAACAUGUUUGCUGUUAUUUUUACUCUUGCACUUAUAACAGUACAUGUUGGAGCGGAAAUACCCUCCUACAUUCAAGUGUGCGGCCGUAGAGACUCGAAUCUUGAUCAGUGUAUCAUAAAUAAUAUCGAUAAUUUGAAAGGAAGACUCUGCGAUGGAAUUCCAGAAUUGGGCAUUCCGUCAGGAAAUCCGUAUACUUUUGAUGAAUUACUCAUUACAGACGGGCCUAACGCCAAAAUUUACAUUAGAGAUGCAAAAAUAAUGGGAAUGUGUGAUUUUGUCGUAAAAUCCUUUUACUCGGAUAUCGACAGACUUCACUUUGAUGCUGAAGUAGUAUUCAAACAGAUUGAAAUAAAUACCACUUAUGAUUUUAACGUACGUUUAUUGGUGCCUAUUGCCUACAAGGGACCGAUUUACUUAACCUUAGAUAACGUAACAGCAAAAGCAGAUAUAGAUAUAAAUCUGACAACUAGAGACAGCAAAAGAUAUGUAUAUUUAUCAAAGUUGAAGAUUAAUAUUGAUUUCAAAAAUUAUAAUGUUAAAUAUGACGUGUACAAUUCGGAUUUAGCACAAUUCAACGAAAUUAUUAAGAAUUUUUUAGGCAACAAUCGAGAAGAGAUUGUUAAAAUUCUUAAACCACUUAUAGAAGUGCAGAUCUCCAGACGGAUUAUCUUGAUUUCUAAUAAUAUAGUUAAACAAUUUACUUACGAAGAGCUCUUCCCCGAUAGAACAUAAACCAUAAAAAAUAAAAAAUUGUCACGUUACUAUAUUUGUGAUUAGAAACGGAGAUUUUUUAUUUUUCCGAAUUGAUGUACUUUA